rnacentral:tRNA from 2 species
GUCACUUUGCCGGAGUGGUUAACGGGAUCGCCUGCUAUUCGUAGCUGUUAGCGGUUGUGCUUUGCACGCGAGUGUUCGAAUCGCUCAGGUGACG